rnacentral:rRNA from 1 species
AGUGAACGCUGGCGGUAGGCCUAACACAUGCAAGUCGAACGGCAGCACAGUAAGAGCUUGCUCUUACGGGUGGCGAGUGGCGGACUGGUGAGGAAUACAUCGGAAUCUACUUUUUCGUUGGGGAUAACGUAGGGAAACUUACGCUAAUACCUCAUACGACCUACGGGUGAAAGCAGGGGAUCUUCGGACCUUGCGCGACUGAAUGAGCCGAUGUCGGAUUAGCUAGUUGGCGGGGUAAAGGCCCACCAAGGCGACGAUCCGUAGCUGGUCUGAGAGGAUGAUCAGCCACACUGGAACUGAGACACGGUCCAGACUCCUACGGGAGGCAGCAGUGGGGAAUAUUGGACAAUGGGCGCAAGCCUGAUCCAGCAAUACCGCGUGGGUGAAGAAGGCCUUCGGGUUGUAAAGCCCUUUUGUUGGGAAAGAAAAGCAGCAGGUUAAUACCCCGCUGUUCUGACGGUACCCAAAGAAUAAGCACCGGCUAACUUCGUG